GUGUCAAGGAGAUCUGUGAUAAUUCAGUGACCACCAGGGGGCAUCAGGACCUCUGAAUGUCCUAGCCAACCAAGUCCACACUGAAUAAAAAUGAGGUGUGCUCAUCUAGGAACCACUGACCAUGAAUGAGGAAAUCUAAAAGGAGAAGUGGCUUGGGCGUAAGGCUAAAAACCUUACUUUAUGGCAAGAGAAGAAUCCGUUAUUUCAGGCAGGGGGAGCAACACGACAAACUUGCAGAGCAAGCACCUUGUGAAAUGAGCUCACAGCACUGGCUACAGCAUGAAAUUCAUGAGGAGUGGGCUGUCUCACGACUUGGUAGCUGACUUGCAUCAGCGUGAGUGAUUUAAGGGAGAACAAGAGAAGGAAUGCCAAAAGGUAAGCCAUGUCCUUUGUAUUAUCUAAACUCAGAAGUGACAUUCUAUCACCUCUGCCUUAUUCUUUUUGUUGGAAGCAAGUCUAGCUCAAAUCAUACAAGGGCAUGAAUAAACGGGAAGCAGGUGUCAUUGAGGUCCAUAGAGCUUGCCUGCCAGAGAUGGCAAUGGUCAAUUUCUUGACCUUGGUGGAGAUUAUGUAAUU